CAAUUAAUAACGUCAGAUGUGGUGGACGUAUAGAGGAAACACAAACAAUUAAUCAAUACUUUUAAGCACCUCUGUUAUUUGUGACCUUGAAGUAUAACAAACUAAUGAAAACGUAACAAAGAAUUUAAAAUGGUCGUUAUUCGUUCGUAUAUAAUUUGGAAAUUAUUUUUGUUUAAUAUCUGCAUAAAAAGUGUAAUUGGAAUGCGUCAAACAAAAAAAUGGAAUAAACCAACAGAUUGGAGUCAAACACCACCAGUUGAAAACUCAAUCGAUUUUGAUUCGCCAUCAACACUAAGCGUGGUCAAACAUGCUACAAGGCAGGGUGGUAACAAAAAU